rnacentral:rRNA from 1 species
AGUAGGGAAUUUUGCACAAUGGGCGAAAGCCUGAUGCAGCAACGCCGCGUGCACGAUGAAGGCCUUCGGGUCGUAAAGUGCUUUUCGGGGAGAUGAGGAAGGACAGUAUCCCCAGAAUAAGGAUCGGCUAACUACGUGCCAGCAGCCGCGGUAAAACGUAGGAUCCGAGCGUUAUCCGAAUUUACUGGGCGUAAAGCGCGUGCAGGCGGUUUGGUAAGUUGGAUGUGAAAGCUCCCGGCUCAACUGGGAGAGGUCGUUCAAAACUGCCAGACUAGAGGGUGGUAGAGGGAGGUGGAAUUCCCGGUGUAGUGGUGAAAUGCGUAGAUAUCGGGAGGAACACCAGUGGCGAAGGCGGCCUCCUGGACCAUUCCUGACGCUAAGACGCGAAAGCUAGGGUAGCAAACGGGAUUAGAAACCCCGGUAGUCCUAGCCGUAAACGAUGUGGACUGGGCGUUGGUGGGGUAAAAUCCAUCAGUGCCGUAGCUAACGCGAUAAGUCCACCGCCUGGGGACUACGACCGCAAGGUUAAAACUCAAAGGAAUUGACGGGGCCCCGCACAAGCAGCGGAGCGUGUGGUUUAAUUCGAUGCUACACGAAGAACCUUACCCGGGUUUGACAUACAGGUGGUAGGGAUCCGAAAGGUGACCGACCCCUCGGGGAGCCUGUACAGGUGCUGCAUGGCUGUCGUCAGCUCGUGCCGUGAGGUGUCCGGUUAAGUCCGGUAACGAGCGCAACCCUUGCCGUAUGUUACAUGUGUCAUGCGGAACUGCCGAUAUAAAGUCGGAGGAAGGUGGGGAUGACGUCAAGUCAGCAUGGCCUUUAUAUCCGGGGCUACACACACGCUACAAUGGUCGGUACAAUAGGUCGCAAAGCCGCGAGGUGGAGCCAAUCCAUAAAGCCGGCCUCAGUUCAGAUUGCAGGCUGCAACUCGCCUGCAUGAAGCUGGAGUUGCUAGUAACCGCAGGUCAGCUAUACUGCGGUGAAUACGUUCCCGGGGCUUGUACACACCGCCCGUCACGUCAUGGAAGUUGGCAACACCUGAAGCCGGUAUCCUAACCGAAAGGAGGGAGCCGUCGAAGGUGGGGCUGGUAACUGGGACG